CAGCCGCCGCGGUAAAACGUAGGUGGCAAGCGUUAUCCGGAAUUAUUGGGCGUAAAGCGCGCGUAGGCGGUUUUUUAAGUCUGAUGUGAAAGCCCACGGCUCAACCGUGGAGGGUCAUUGGAAACUGGAAAACUUGAGUGCAGAAGAGGAAAGUGGAAUUCCAUGUGUAGCGGUGAAAUGCGCAGAGAUAUGGAGGAACACCAGUGGCGAAGGCGACUUUCUGGUCUGUAACUGACGCUGAUGUGCGAAAGCGUGGGGAUCAAACAGGAUUAGAUACCCCCGUAGUCCCUGUCUCUUAUAC
rnacentral:rRNA from 1 species